rnacentral:rRNA from 1 species
ACUUAGUGGCGGACGGGUGAGUAACGCGUGGAUAACCUGCCUUACACUGGGGGAUAACACUUAGAAAUAGGUGCUAAUACCGCAUAAGCGCACGGAGCCGCAUGGCUCAGUGUGAAAAACUCCGGUGGUGUAAGAUGGAUCCGCGUCUGAUUAGCUGGUUGGCGGGGUAGAAGCCCACCAAGGCGACGAUCAGUAGCCGGCCUGAGAGGGUGACCGGCCACAUUGGGACUGAGACACGGCCCAAACUCCUACGGGAGGCAGCAGUGGGGAAUAUUGCACAAUGGGGGAAACCCUGAUGCAGCAACGCCGCGUGAGUGAAGAAGUCAUUCGUGAUGUAAAGCUCUAUCAGCAGGGAAGAAAAUGACGGUACCUGAGUAAGAAGCCCCGGCUAACUACGUGCCAGCAGCCGCGGUAAUACGUAGGGGGCAAGCGUUAUCCGGAUUUACUGGGUGUAAAGGGAGCGUAGACGGCCAGACAAGUCUGAAGUGAAAAUCCAGCGCUUAACGUUGGAAGUGCUUUGGAAACUGCCGGGCUAGAGUGCAGGAGGGGCAGGCGGAAUUCCUAGUGUAGCGGUGAAAUGCGUAGAUAUUAGGAGGAACACCAGUGGCGAAGGCGGCCUGCUGGACUGCAACUGACGUUGAGGCUCGAAGGCGUGGGGAGCAAACAGGAUUAGAUACCCUGGUAGUCCACGCGGUAAACGAUGAUUACUAGGUGUCGGGGGGCUAGAGCCCUUCGGUGCCGUCGCAAACGCAAUAAGUAAUCCACCUGGGGAGUACGUUCG